rnacentral:tRNA from 1 species
GCGCCGAUGGUGUAAUGCGAAACAUCGCUGCCUGGAAUGCAGAAGGUGCUGGUUCGAGCCCCACCUGGCGCA